rnacentral:pre_miRNA from 1 species
CAGUUAAUUCAGAGUUGCUUAUGUCAGGUGAGAGGGGUAGACACCAAUUCUCUCUCACCUGGCAUAAGCAAUUCACAAUUAACUG